UACAGAGGGUGCAAGCGUUAAUCGGAAUUACUGGGCGUAAAGCGUGCGUAGACGGUUGCGUAAGUCAGAUGUGAAAGCCCCGGGCUCAACCUGGGAAUUGCAUUUGAGACUGCGUAGCUGGGGUGCGGAAGAGGGAAGCGGAAUUUCCGGUGUAGCGGUGAAAUGCGUAGAUAUCGGAAGGAACACCAGUGGCGAAAGCGGCUUCCUGGUCCAGCACCGACGUUCAGGCACGAAAGCGUGGGGAGCAAACAGG
rnacentral:rRNA from 1 species